GUGGGGAAUUUUGGACAAUGGGCGCAAGCCUGAUCCAGCAAUGCCGCGUGCAGGAAGAAGGCCUUCGGGUUGUAAACUGCUUUUGUACGGAACGAAACGGUCCUGGCUAAUACCCGGGGCUAAUGACGGUACCGUAAGAAUAAGCACCGGCUAACUACGUGCCAGCAGCCGCGGUAAUACGUAGGGUGCGAGCGUUAAUCGGAAUUACUGGGCGUAAAGCGUGCGCAGGCGGUGCUGUAAGACAGGCGUGAAAUCACCGGGCUCAACCUGGGAAUUGCGCUUGUGACUGCAGUGCUGGAGUGCGGCAGAGGGGGAUGGAAUUCCGCGUGUAGCAGUGAAAUGCGUAGAUAUGCGGAGGAACACCGAUGGCGAAGGCAAUCCCCUGGGCCUGCACUGACGCUCAUGCACGAAAGCGUGGGGAGCAAACAGGAUUAGAUACCCCUGUAGUCC
rnacentral:rRNA from 1 species